rnacentral:rRNA from 1 species
UAAUAUACCGGUUCUCGUUAGAUCACCGAAGUCAAGCAUCAUUGGGCGCGGUCAGUACUUGGGUGGGUGACCACCUGGGAACAUUGCGUGCCGUU